rnacentral:sRNA from 1 species
CUAACAGCCCAAGUCUCUUUAUUCCUAGAACAGGACCAAUACAAUAAGCAAAAGUGCAAGCUUCGUCCACACAUUCUCCUGCCAAUGUAUCUCAACCCUGUUCUGAAAGGACCAUGUCUAGGAGUGAGAGGAUCCAGGGCCCAUUCAGUCCUUGGAUAUU